CCUACGGGGGGCAGCAGUAGGGAAUCUUUCACAAUGGGCGAAAGCCUGAUGGAGCAACGCCGCGUGCAGGAUGAAGGCCUUCGGGUUGUAAACUGCUUUUAUAAGCGAGAAAUAUGAUGGUAACUUAUGAAUAAGGAUCGGCUAACUACGUGCCAACAGCCGAGGUCAUAAGUAGGAUCCGAGCAGUAUACGGAGUGACUGGGUGUAAAGAGUUGCGUAGGUGGCAUAAUAAGUAGCUAGGGAAAUCUGGUGGCGCAACCAUUCAGACUAUUCGCUAAACUGUUAAGCUCGAGACCGUUAGGGGUAACUGGAAUUUCUAGUGUAGGAGUGAAAUCCGUAGAUAUUAGAAGGAACACCAAUAGCGUAGGCAGGUUGCUGGGACGGUUCUGACACUAAGGCACGAAAGCGUAGGGAGCAAACGGGAUUAGAUACCCCAGUAGUC
rnacentral:rRNA from 1 species